rnacentral:rRNA from 1 species
UACGAAGGUCCCAAGCGUUAUCCGGAUUUAUUGGGUUUAAAGGGCGCGUAGGCGGCUUAUUAAGUCAGGGGUGAAAGACGGUGGCUCAACCAUCGCAGUGCCCUUGAUACUGAUGAGCUUGAAUACACUUGAGGUAGGCGGAAUGUGACAAGUAGCGGUGAAAUGCAUAGAUAUGUCACAGAACACCAAUUGCGAAGGCAGCUUACUAAGGUGCAAUUGACGCUGAGGCACGAAAGCGUGGGGAUCAAACAGG